rnacentral:tRNA from 1 species
CGCGAAAUAGAGCAGUGGUUAGCUCGUCGGGCUCAUAACCCGAAGGUCGGUGGUUCAAAUCCACCUUUCGCAACCA